UGAGGAAUAUUGGUCAAUGGGGGCAACCCUGAACCAGCCAAGUCGCGUGAAGGAUGAAGGUCUUAUGGAUUGUAAACUUCUUUUAUACAGGAAUAAAUUGGGGGACGUGUCCCCUUUUGCAUGUACUGUAUGAAUAAGGAUCGGCUAACUCCGUGCCAGCAGCCGCGGUAAUACGGAGGAUCCGAGCGUUCUCCGGAUUUAUUGGGUUUAAAGGGUGCGUAGGCGGCGAUAUAAGUCAGUGGUGAAAUAUUUCGGCUUAACCGAGAGACUGCCAUUGAUACUGUGUUGCUAGAAUAUGGUUGCUGUGAGUGGAAUGUGUGGUGUAGCGGUGAAAUGCUUAGAUAUCACACAGAAUAUCGAUUGCGAAGGCAGCUCACAAAGCCAUUAUUGACGCUGAGGCACGAAAGUGUGGGGAUCAAACA
rnacentral:rRNA from 1 species